GAUGGAAUCAUGGCUGAUGUCAAUAAUUCCUGUACUGCUGCUUUGAGUACCUCUAUGUUGCUUGUGAAAAUGACAGCUGUUGAACAUUUUUAUGAGAGACACAUUGCACUUAUCAGGAUCUGAAGGCUCUCUGUGUAUAUCUGAUGACUAAGGGAAAUAAACUGCUAGAAAAUCACAGAGGAUCUCAUGGUGUCAUAACAAAUGCAAUAACAAGUCAGUCUUUGUAACCAAGAAGAAUCUAUCCAAGUUUCUCAGCCGUCAGCAGAAAACUGGUUGAAUAUUUUCUACAGCUCAUCCUUCAGACAAGUUCACUAGUUCAGAAAACACCUUGGGACCAAUUCAUGUUAGUGUGUGUCUGUACUGCUUCUUUCAUUAGCAUUAAGAGCCUCAAAGUAAUUUAAGUCAAUGAUCU
ensembl:lncRNA